rnacentral:ncRNA from 2 species
UCAUGCGCCCGCUUCAUAGGUGCGCUUGUGUAGACAAGUGUUAAACGGGAAGUAGGUGUCAUUGUGGCCACUAGCCAUAAUAUUCAGUCCUACGCUGCCCCCGCAACGGUGAUUGGUUAAAGCUAUUGCAUGCCACUGCGAUUUUUCGUGGGAAGGUAAAUAGCCCGCGCGUAUAGCGCUCGCCAUAAGCCCGGAUACCGGCCUAAGAAGGUUAUUCGAG